rnacentral:rRNA from 1 species
UGGCUCAGGAUGAACGCUGGCGGCGUGCCUAAUACAUGCAAGUCGAACGGAGGUUGUAGUAAUACAGCCUUAGUGGCGAACGGGUGAGUAACGCGUUGGUGACCUGCCCCGAAGUGUGGGAUAACAGUUCGAAAGGAUUGCUAAUACCUCAUGUGUUCCUCUGGAUUAGAUGCCGGAGGAAUAAAGACGUAAGUCGCUUCGGGAGGGGCCUGCGUCCCAUCAGCUAGUUGGUAGGGUAAUGGCCUACCAAGGCUAUGACGGGUAGGGGACCUGAGAGGGUGGCCCCCCACAAUGGAACUGAAACACGGUCCAUACACCUACGGGUGGCAGCAGUAGGGAAUAUUGGUUAAUGUGCGAAAGCGCGAACCAGCAACGCCGCGUGCACGAUGAAGGCCUUCGGGUUGUAAAGUGCUUUUUGAGGGGAUGAGGAAGGACAGUACCCUCAGAAUAAGUCUCGGCUAACUACGUGCCAGCAGCCGCGGUAACACGUAGGAGACGAGCGUUAUCCGGAUUUACUGGGCGUAAAGCGCGUGCAGGCGGUUCGGAAAGUUGGAUGUGAAAGCUCCCGGCUUAACUGGGAGAGGUCGUUCAAAACUACUGAACUUGAGAGUGGUAGAGGGAGGUGGAAUUCCGGGUGUAGUGGUGAAAUGCGUAGAUAUCCGGAGGAACACCAGUGGCGAAAGCGGNCNNNUGGACCAUUUCUGACGCUCAGACGCGAAAGCUANGGGAGCNNACGGNAUUAGAGANCCCGGUANUCCUANCUGUAAA